AUUGAGGAAAAUAAACCCAAUUUUUUUUUCUCUGAGAGUCUCAGGUGAACUUUAGUACCAUAGAUCAGUUGCUUAGUUCCUGGCGAAAAACCAGACGUCGUUUUGCUAACCUCUCCAUUGGAUUUUAAAGUAAGAGAAUCAACAUCCGUAUAAAAAACAGCGGAGAGAGAGACGGGAGAUAUGCAAGAAACGACUCCGAAUGUUUAUUGCUUUGCAGCGGCGUCCGGUUUAAAUCGGAUCGGCUACGUUCAGCGAAGAUGACGAUGGUUGAGCGGUUGCGGCGGUUUAGCCGACUUUUGUUCGCUGAAAUGAAAUUAAUGAGGUAUGGAUGAAGAUCAUAGCUGAAAAGAUGAAAGGCUUCUAAACUUUAAGAGCUUUUAAAAAGAAAUUAUGAAAAGAGUUAUCAAGAGCCAAAUAAUUCUAAUAUGUCAUACUUCACUUAA